GACAGAGAGUGCAAACGUUGUUCGGAAUUACUGAGCGUAAAGCGCGUGUAGACGGCUAAGUAAGUCGGGCGUGAAAUCCCACAGCUCAACCAUGGAAGUGCACUCGAAACUGCAUAGCUAGAGUCCUAGAGAGAAAGGUGGAAUGCUUGGUGUAGAGGUGAAAUUCGUAGAUAUCAAGCGAAACACCGGUGGCGAAGGCGACCUUCUGAACAGUGACUGACGCUGAGACGCGAAAGCGUGGGGAGCAAACAAG
rnacentral:rRNA from 1 species